rnacentral:sRNA from 1 species
AGUUUGGGCGUAGCAGGCACCUAAGAAGGACAUGCUGUCCUGUACUAGAGUUUGUUCAACAAAGUAUUUACAUCUGAGCAUAUUCUAACCAGGUUCUUCUCACUUCUGAGAUCCCAGUAUUGCAGUACUACAAUUUGCAGAAUUCCAGUAUCAUAGUAUACCAGAACUACAAUACUUCAGUAUUCAAGGAACUCAGCCUUUAGAAAAAACAUUCAACAUUCAACUAUUCAACAGUCAAGAUUCACCAACUUCGGCCUGUCGUACACGGAUACAUGGACGGAUGGUUUUGUGAGCCCACCGAGGCCGCCAUUACGGACCACCAAAUAAAAAAAAAAGAAAUUUGGCGGUUUACAUUGCUCCUGGGAUCUAGAAGUGAAUAAAAUUGAAUUCAUCAACAAGAACUGUCCUUCUUUGGAAUGCGAGUUUGAGGAUCUGGUCGGGAAAGUGAAGUUUCAGCUGUUUGAUUACAGACUUAAACGAUCCCAGUAUUGCAGUACCACAAUUUGCAGUAUUCAAGUAUCCAGUAUCAUUGUAUACCAGAACUACAAUACUUCGGUAUUCAAGUAACUCAGCCUUUAGUAAACUUGAACCACCAUAAAUAUUGAACAUUGAACAUUCAACUAUUCAACAGUCAAGAUUCACCAACUUUGGCCUGUCGUACACGGAUACACGGACGGAUGGUUUUGUGAGCCCACCGAGGCCGCCAUUACGGACCAGCCAAUAAGUGAUACAAAAACUUAGAUAUAUUUCUCUGUAAAAGCUGAAUCACAAGAUAAACAAAUAUAUUGAACAGUAUUAAAAUGU